rnacentral:lncRNA from 13 species
CUUCUCUUCCGCCCUGACUGUGAGCUUUCUGAGGCCUUUCCAGAAGCGGAGUGAAGCUGCUGUGCUUCCUGGGCAGCCUGCAGACCUGUGGGCCAGUUGAGCCUCUUUUCUUUAUAAAUGACUCGUUCUUCAGAAAGCCAAGCACCAUAGGUUCUCACUCGUAGUAUUCCCUUAGAGUGAUGUAAGAAUGCCCUAACCAGGCUUCUACAGCAGGACAGUGAGGGUGACUAUUACAGCGAGCGUGCGAUAACACACACCACAGGGCGCAGCGAGCGUGCGAUAACACACACCACAGGUGAGCACACGUUCUUCCUCCUCCGCCCUAAAAUCUAUCUCGGUGAAUUUCCUUUAUUUAUUUCAAUGUAUCUGUAUGCAGGGCGCAGCGAGCGUGCGAUAACACACACCACAGGUGAGCACACGUUCUUCCUCCUCCGCCCUAAAAUCCAUCUCGGUGAAUUUCCUUUAUUUAUUUCAAUGUAUCUGUAUGCAGGGCGCAGCGAGCGUGCGAUAACACACACCACAGACUGAUAACCAUUGGGGCAAUAUUGUAUAAUGCAGCCUUCUCAACCAGAAGCAAUUCUGGCCUCAGGGAACAUCAGUACAUCUGGAGACACGUUUACUUGUUACAAAUGGGGCAGCGACAUGCUGCUGGCGAAUCGUGGAUAACGUCCAGGGACAAAGCUAAACGUACAAUACUCAGAACAGCUCUUCACAGCAAAGCAUCAUCUGGCUCACAAUGGCAGCAGGACUGAGGGUGAGAAACCCUGAAAUUGGAAGGAGUACAGGCUCAGAAGGCAGACUAGCUGGUGUCCAAUCCCACCUCUAUCACUUAAUAAUUGCAUGACCUCAGGUGCUUUGCUUGUCCUGCUGGUGACUCAGUUUCCAUUUCUGGCAAAUGGG